AGUGAACGCUGGCGGUAGGCCUAACACAUGCAAGUCGAACGGCAGCACAGUAAGAGCUUGCUCUUACGGGUGGCGAGUGGCGGACGGGUGAGGAAUACAUCGGAAUCUACUUUUUCGUGGGGGAUAACGUAGGGAAACUUACGCUAAUACCGCAUACGACCUACGGGUGAGAGCAGGGGAUCUUCGGACCUUGCGCGAUUGAAUGAGCCGAUGUCGGAUUAGCUAGUUGGCGGGGUAAAGGCCCACCAAGGCGACGAUCCGUAGCUGGUCUGAGAGGAUGAUCAGCCAAACUGGAACUGAGACACGGUCCAGACUCCUACGGGAGGCAGCAGUGGGGAAUAUUGGACAAUGGGCGCAAGCCUGAUCCAGCCAUACCGCGUGGGUGAAGAAGGCCUUCGGGUUGUAAAGCCCUUUUGUUGGGAAAGAAAAGCAGCAGGUUAAUACCCCGCUGUUCUGACGGUACCCAAAGAAUAAGCACCGGCUAACUUCGU
rnacentral:rRNA from 1 species